GUAUAUAUAAUCACAGUGACUGUGUUUCUACUUCAAGCCUGCGACUGGCAUCUGGAUUUUCAUAGCCAGUUUGUAGUGUACUAUCGAAAGGACUGCAUUCCCUUCUUCGAGCCCAUGACUGGCAUCAGGAUUAUCAUAGUCAGCCUGUAGUGUACAAUCGAGGUGAGUGCCUGCCUUCCUCACUUGCGGCCCAUGACUGGCAUCAGGAAUUUAAUUGUCAGCCUGUAGUGUAUUAUCGAAAGGACUGCAUUUCCUUCUUCGAGCCCAUGACUGGCCUCAGGAUUAUCAUAGUCAGCCUGUAGUUUACAAUCGAAUUGAGUGCCUUCCUCACUUUCGACCUACGACUGGCAUCAGGAAUUUAAUUGUCAGCCUGUAGUGUUCCGUCGAAGUUACUCCGUUUCUCGCUUCCAGCCAACGACCGGCAUCAGGACUUUAAUUGUCAGGUAAAUUGUUUUUAUUGUACCUUUUUUCCAUUAGAACAUGUUUAUAGCACGUUUUAUUACCUGCUAUAA